rnacentral:lncRNA from 1 species
CCUGGCCUUUUUAGUGCUUUAUUCAUUCAUUUAUUUGCUGUAGGUGCUUCUAUCUCAUCUCCUUAGACGUUCCUGUGACAGCCUCAUGAGAGCUUUAGGAAGGAAUGGCAGUGACUGACAGAGAGCAGGGAAGGGGAUUAAAAUCUGUGUUCACAGGCUGAGAGCAGGUGUCUGUGAUGAGACCCCAUGCUGUGACAUGGAUGCAGCACAUUCUUACAUGAAAAGCCCUGGCUGAUGAAAUGACCACAGGAAGACAACAUGGAACCCUCCCAGCACUAUCAGAAGAAGCUUAAUUAAGCUCUGUGGUUAAAUUUAAAGACUUUUUGUCAGAAGCAUGGCAAGCAACUUCAGUUUGGCUUUCUAAAGUGCUGAACACCCAAAACUCCUACCAAGGCUUUCUGGAAUUACAGAGGCACAGUGGGAGCUCAAGUGGCACACAAGCUGUGAGACCCAGAGGGCCCAAGAUGGGCUUUGCCCAGGGAAAGAAUUGGCCAGCAUACCACCAAAAAUCGGACCCUCCUCUUUCAAGAAGGACUGAUGAGGAACAUCCACAAGGUUCAACAAAAUGUAAGGGAGCAGUCACAACUACAAGGCUCAAAAUAC